UGAUAGAAACACAGAAUUCAAAGCACUGGAGACACCAUCCUCACUGUUUAAAGUUUUCAACUGGUGUUUGUGGAUUAUAUAUUAUCGGUACUGAACAUGUGUACAAACAGCUUUAUCAUCAUGAUGCCUGACCACAAAAGACUGAGACAUGAUGGAAGAAGUGACAUCAAACAAAAAGAGCCAAAGGCCCUUACCAUGCCCUUGCAUCCUCCAAGCAGGCUUCUGCCAUUAGCCAAGAAAGAGAUUGUUUUGGAACAAGAAGAGAUUGAUUAACAGUUGUAUACCAGCCAUGUCAUGAUUUGGAGGUG